rnacentral:rRNA from 1 species
AUGGGUAAGCUGCUAGCCUUGAAGGAACUAUAUGGUGAUUGGGAUACAAGCUUUGAUAAUCUGUAUAGUUUUAAGGCACAAAUUGAAAGGUGCUGCCCCGGUAGCAUAGUGAUAAUUGAGCACCACACAAUAAAAGAUAAAAUCAGAUUUAAGAGAUUUUUUGUCGCUUUGAAGCCUUGCAUCGACGGGUUCCUUAGUGGUUGCAGGCCAUACUUGGCAGUAGAUAGCACCUUCUUGACAGGCAGAUUCAAGGGGCAACUGGCUAGUGCUACCGCUGUUGAUGGCCAUAGUUGGAUGUAUCCAGUCAGUAUGGGUGUUUUUGAUUCUGAAACUAAUGAGAACUGGAUCUGGUUCAUGCAAUUGGUUAGGCAAGCCAUAGGAUCCCCAAGGGGUUUAACCAUAUGCACCGACGCUGGGCAGCCAGUGAUGACCGGUGUAAAAGAAGUGUUCCCAGAGGCUGAACAUAGGGAAUGUAUGUUUCACUUGGUGUCCAACUUCAAGAAGAAGUUUCAUGGAAAGGUUUUUGAUUACCACCUUUGGGCUGCUGCUUACUCAUGGAACCCAUAUUUAUUUGAGAAAAAUUGGGUUGCAAUGGACAUAGCAAAGCCAACGGCAACUGCAUAUCUUUGGAAGUGGCACACUAGGUUGUGGUCUAGGAGUCAGUUCUCAACAAUUUCCAAGGUGGAUUAUGUUACAAACAACUUGGCUGAGUGCUUCAAUAAUUGGAUUAAGCAUCACAAGUCCUUGAACUUGGACGACUUCUUUGAUAAGCUUAGGCAAUUGAUUAUGAUCAUGUGGAACCGAAGGAGAAAGGUAGCAAGAAAGUUAGUUGGGUUGAUUCUUCCCCACAUAAUUAAGAAGUUGAAUGCAAAGACCAGAGAAUUAAACUUGGAGGUGGUUGAAAGCUCAGAAGAAGUUGCUGAAGUAACCGCAUUGGGAGGCAGCGGCUUUAGGUUUGUGGUCAACUUGCUUGACAGGACAUGUUCUUGUAGACAAUGGGAAGUUUCUGGCCUUCCUUGCAAACAUGGUCUAGCAUUUAUCACAUCUCUUACCAAUGCACGCAUAGAGAACUAUGUGGACUUGUGUUACUCCAUUCACAAAUUUAGAGCAGCGCUUAUGACCAACUAA